AUGAAACAUUGGCUGCUUCCCAAGAGUUUGAAGCAGAAUCCUUCUGUCCUGAACCAAGUAAUGUCUAGAAACGGGAGAACAUGGGAAGAAGCUGCCUCCUUCCAUUACAGGCGUCAGCUUCUCUCGGCCAUUGCGUGGAACAAAGCCUCGUCGUGUGCAAGAAGGCCUCUUUCACAGAGUAACUUCAUUUCCUUCUCAGCAUCUCGGUCAUUUGGAGUUGCUUUGGGACUGAAGUUGGAAUCUGCCACUGUUCAUUUCAAAGUGUUGUGGAUACAGCCUGGAAAUGGAGAGCAAACAUCCUCCCCCGAAGCCAUAGGUCAGCCCUUGGGACACACAGAAACUACCUUGACCUGGACCGGGAGAACCGCAGAGAGAUGGACAGAUGCCCCUGCUGGCCUGCAACUCCAGAGAGGGGCGCUUCCCAGCUGCCCUGAUUCGUAUGACACGGGGACCUGAGUGUGGCCCUGUGCCUUGUGGACACGUAUGAGGAUGCCCAGGAGUGUCACUGGUUGGUUCAAACCGCACUUGGAAAUUUGGACAAACCCCUCCCUCCGUGCCCUGGCGUCCAUCCUGAGUGCUCUGUUCCUCCUCUGCUGGGAACGUCCUUCCUGUCCACAGGGAACCUCCCCGCAAGUGUCUUCUCCUGCUCUGCCAGAGGGUUCCUGGGUGUCUCCCGGUGAGAAGGCUGCUGCUGCCCUCUGAGCUAUGGCGCUUUCCCACUGGCUCCAGCUCCGGUUCUGUGCUUCACGACUCAGAACGCUCAUCUCUCCUCAGCAGCUGCACUGGUGAGAAGCCAGCCCUGCAGAGCCGGGUGUGAAGCUGCCUCCUCACUUGGCUUCCUGUGUGUGGUGGGCGGAGGCACGACACAGACACCAGGCCCGGGAGGCACGGAAUCCCGGUACCAUCUCCCUACCCACAGUGCCCAAGUGCGUGUCCUUUCUUCUCUGUGUGCAUCUGUUCCUGUUUAUUUCUGGUCUGGAAAACUGUCCGUAAUAAAAGCAUGAAUUCUUCUUGUAUGAUUUGAGCUGCAUGGACUGUGGGUCAGGGGAAAGGCCUA
rnacentral:lncRNA from 1 species